CUCGAAUGUUGAAGCACGCCCCAGAGGUGAGGCAGGCUGCCAGGACUGUGUCCCCUGGGAGGCAGGGCCUUAUUCGCUGGAUCUGCAGUGAUCGGUGGUCUCAGGCAGGCUGCUCUCUGGUCCAAAGCAUUGCAGUUGGUGGCCACACCCAGGGCUGUGGUUCCUGCCAGGCUAGAUCCACCUGAGAAGAGGACCCUCAAUUGAGAAUGUGCCUCCCUCUUACUGGCACACAGGUAAACCUUUCUGGAAACGCCAGAUAUUGUCCAGAGAUGUGUUUCCAUGGCAAUCCUCAUCUAGCCAAGUUGGCAAUGAGGAUGAAUAAUCAACGAGCAUCAACUUUCAACUGAACUCUGGUGUCUCUCUGCCUUAAAUAUGUCUCUUGGAAACUGCUGAAUUAUAUUAAAAAAAAAAAAGCUGAUGUUCGGACUUCACUGCGGUGGUAAAUGGCAGCGCGCUCUGCUGAAGAUCCCAACAGGAAUUGGACUCCAGUCAGUCCUUCACAGACCCAGCUCAAAUCUUCUGAGUGUUCUCGUGCACUCCUUGUCAGCCACUCCGCAGACACCUACUCAUUCGGGCGGAGCACAGAGGAGGGGCUAACCCCAGGAUGCUCACUGGCAGAGAAGACUUUUUGCUGAGAUUGUCUUGGCAUCCAAUGGAUCUAUAGCCAUGGCCAUCCAGGAGCCCUGGGGCACCUGUGGUAGGGUCAAGUGUGAGAUGGAGCACAGAAGUGUGAUGCUGGUUGUUGGAG
ensembl:lncRNA